rnacentral:lncRNA from 1 species
GGCACUCUAAUAGUCAAGUAAAGGACUGAUUUAAAACAGCUGUGUUUUUUCACCACCACCUGCUGCAACAAUGCAACUUUAUACUUACCAAGCAGCAUACAGUUCACAGUGUGAAUGUAUGUACUAUUUUUUUUUCUUCCGGAGUUUAAAAGCCAAGUGCAAAGCUGAUUCUUCAAGUAGUUCUUCUAUUGGCAUACAGUCAUAUUCCCUCCAGCCCUGGUUUAGGCCCCUGUGUUAAGCUGAAGUAAUAAAUGCAUGGUGAAAUGGUUUAGUCUUGGAGAUGAAACAGGUACACGGCAGAGGGACUAUAGAAAUCUUACAGCAAGAGCAUUCAGCACAUAAGGACUUAAAUUUCUAUUAUUCUGCUUUUCUAGCUGAUGUCAAAGGUUUCCCAAUACCAUCCAAUAUAAUAUCAUUGAAUUUUCACUCAUAGUGAUGAAAAAUGUCUGUGAGACACAAGAGAAAGCAUAUCACAAAGGACAAAACGUCUUUAUUGUGAAUUGUUGAAUGGCAAAUACGGGGAGCAAGAAGCAGAAAGGUUACAAACGAAGCUGUAGCAGCUAAGUCACGAAGAGAAUCAGAGAAUCGUUAAGGCUGGAAAAGACCUCCAGGAUCACCCGAUCCGUGUAAGAGCACAUGUCAGAAAUCCCUUUCAGCUGUGGCGCUGAAGGAGCUGGCUGAGCAGUUGGGAGCCCAGGUGCUGGGUUCGCUGGGCGCAGCAGGCAGCCUGCCCUCCCCGGGCUGCAGCGGGCGCUGAGCUCCACCUGCUCCCCAGCGCCUUGACCGGGACCCCCCCGCUCCACCCCGCUCCCCUGGGGGCCCCUCUCCCCGUCCCUCCCCAGCCUCCCCCAUCCCUAUCGCCGUGUCCAGCCGACGGCGGGAGCCGCGGGGCUCAUCCCCGGCAGCUCCAUCCCGGGAGAAGCGACGAGACGGGACCGUGGGGAGCCCUCCCGAGCCCCCCCGGCCCCCUACCCGCGGGGGCGUGCCGGCACAAGCCAGGCGGGGGCCGGGCCGGGAGACGCCGGAGCUGGAGCUGGUCCCGGUGCCGGUCCCGGUGCCGCCGCUGCUGGGGGGGGGGGAGGCGGCGCCCGCCCCGCGCCCCCGCGCCCCGCCCGUCCCCGGCGGCAGCAGCAGCGGCCUCGGCACCCCCGGCAGCUCGGCCGGCAGCUCCAGCCCCAGCACCAUGGACCUCUCCUUCAUGGCCGCGCAGGUGUAUUCAGAGGUAUGACUGAGAACCAUCACCUGAACACUGACCACCUCUGGCGCCUGUGCUCUGGCCUGACUGUCAGGGCAGCAGUCAGGCCAGGAGAAGAACUGCAUGGAGAAGCCAGCCUUGAUGAAAAAUCAUGUCCCCACAGGUAUACAGUUUAGUGUCCCAGAAGGUAAUGCUCUGAUCAUCCCUGGAUUUCUUCUAGGUAUAGAUGAAGCUUACAGCCUAGCCUUCCAAUACUGGACUUAUGACUAUCGAAUUCUGUUAUUUUAUUAUUAAUUUAGUUAUUUAUUUUUAAGUAUGAUGUCAUUUCCUUCAAAAUGAAUUUAGCAAGUGAUCUUAGGCUUGGAAAAGAGGGCUUGUCAGACUGCACUGUUUCAGCGAAAGCCUGGCCAGCUGGCAGAAUGGGGCACACUCUUCUCCAAAAAUAAGCUGCAUCUCCGAGUGCCGAUUUUGACAGAUAUGUUUAAGAGUAUUACAGCUCAUGUAUAGCUCUCUGCCUGAGGAUCAUACUAUGCUCCUGUCAGUCCUGGUAGUCAUCCCAUUCCCUGCCUGUCACGCAGGAGGAACAGAGCAGUGACAGCAGAGGAGAUGCUGCAGCCAUCACACCUAUUUACAGCUCCUCGCUCACUGAUUUGAGAAUAAACAAAUUUGUUAUGCAUGCA